CCUACGGGUGGCUGCAGUGGGGAAUAUUGGGCAAUGGGCGCAAGCCUGACCCAGCAACGCCGCGUGAAGGAAGAAGGCUUUCGGGUUGUAAACUUCUUUUCUUAGGGACGAAGAAAGUGACGGUACCCCAGUAAUAAGCUACGGCUAACUACGUGCCAGCAGCCGCGGUAAUACGUGGGUGGCAAGCGUUAUCCGGAUUUAUUGGGUGUAAAGGGCGUGUAGGCGGGAAAGCAAGUCAGAUGUGAAAACUCAGGGCUCAACCCUGAGCCUGCAUUUGAAACUGUUGUUCUUGAGUGCUGGAGAGGCGAUCGGAAUUCCGUGUGUAGCGGUGAAAUGCGUAGAUAUACGGAGGAACACCAGUGGCGAAGGCGAAUUGCUGGACAGUAACUGACGCUGAGGCGCGAAAGCGUGGGGAGCAAACAGGAUUAGAUACCCCUGUAGUC
rnacentral:rRNA from 1 species